GUCCACGCCGUAAACGAUGCUAACUCGUUUUGGAUUUCGGAUUCAGAGACCAAGCGAAAGUGAUAAGUUAGCCACCUGGGGAGUACGUCCGCAAGGAUGAAACUCAAAGGAAUUGACGGGGCCCGCACAAGCGGAGGAACAUGUGGUUUAAUUCGAUGAUACGCGAGGAACCUUACCAAGUCUUGACAUCCCCCUGACGAGCAUGUAACGAUGCUUUUCUUUCGGGGACAGGGGAGACAGGUGGUGCAUGGUUGUCGU
rnacentral:rRNA from 1 species